rnacentral:rRNA from 1 species
UACAUAGGGGGCAAGCGUUAUUCGGAAUUAUUGGGCGUAAAGGGCGCGUAGGCGGCGAUUCAAGUGACGGGUGAAAUCCCUCGGCUUAACCGAGGAACUGCCUGUCAGACUGGGUUGCUUGAGACCGGGAGAGGCGAGUGGAAUUCCCAGUGUAGCGGUGAAAUGCGUAGAUAUUGGGAGGAACACCAGUGGCGAAGGCGGCUCGCUGGACCGGAACUGACGCUGAGGCGCGAAAGCGUGGGGAGCAAACAGG